UACGGGGGGGGCAAGCGUUAUUCAGUAUAACUAGGCGUAAAGGGUCUGUAGGCGCAAAUUUUGUUAUUAACUAAAAAUUAAAGCAUAACUUUAUAAAAAUUAAUAAUACAGAUUUAGCUAGAGUAAUAUAGAGGAUAGUAGAAUUUCUGUAGUAGGGAUGAAAUCCAUAGACAACAGAAGGAAUGUCAGAGGCGAAGGCGACUAUCUGGAUAUUACUGACGUUGAGGGAC
rnacentral:rRNA from 1 species